GACGAACGCUGGCGGCGUGCCUAAUACAUGCAAGUCGAGCGCAGGAAACUGACGGAACUCUUCGGAGGGAAGGCAGCGGAAUGAGCGGCGGACGGGUGAGUAACACGUAAGGAACCUGCCUCAAGGAUUGGGAUAACUCCGAGAAAUCGGAGCUAAUACCGGAUAGUUCAACGGACCGCAUGGUCCGUUGAUGAAAGGCGCUUCGGCGUCACCUUGAGAUGGCCUUGCGGUGCAUUAGCUAGUUGGUGGGGUAACGGCCCACCAAGGCGACGGGGCAUAGCCGACCUGGGAGGGUGCGCGGCCGCACUGGGACUGAGACACGGCCCAGACUCCUACGGGAGGAAGCAGUAGGGAAUCUUCCACACUGGACGAAAGUCUGAUGGAGCAAAGCCGGGUGAGUGAUGAAGGUUUUCGGAUCGUAAAACUCUGUUGUAAGGGAAGAACACGUACGAGAGGGAAUGCUCGUACCUUGACGGUACCUUACGAGAAAGCCACGGCUAACUACGUGCCAGCAGCCGCCGUAA
rnacentral:rRNA from 1 species